rnacentral:snRNA from 1 species
CGAAAUACUUUAGAGUGGAUUU